CAAGUCUGCCUGCUCAAGGAAACAGGGCUGUGACGUUGUUUCAAGGGGAUGGCACUGUCUGGACCAACUGAGAUCACCUGACUCAAGCCAGCCACUCAGUGGAGGAAGGGGAGUACUUCUCUCUUUGUCCCACUGAAGCGAGAGGAAACUGGAGUGGAGCUGCUGACAGAGGCUGAGUCUCCACUGGGGCAAGACCACAUUGCUGUGAGAGUGGCUGGUCUACAGAGAUGCCUUAAAUCCUGACUGGUUGUCCAGUCUUGUUCCAGUCCACCUGUAUCCUGACCAUAAAGCUCUCUUUUUUUAAGAGCCUAGAGAAGGGACAGAGGGAAAACGAAACUGAAAAGGAAUAGAAGGCUGGACAUACAGAUGGCAACACACAGACGCAGUCUUGACACAAGGAUGGCUCCGACAAAACCGAGACUAAGACUUGGAGACCUGAUUGAGAUUUCUCGCUUUGGCUAUAAGCACUGGGCCAUCUACGUGGGAGGAGGCUAUGUGGUCCACCUGGCUCUCGCAG